GACUACUUCUAAGGUCUUUGGGGUAGAAUAGCAAAUUGAGAUUCCUGAAGUAUGUAAUCAAUGGUUAAGCCAGAAAUGCAAUUAGUGGGUAGGUGAAUGUGGUUAGGUGGUAAUGUCCGCCUUUACCUGCAAGUUGACAAAAUCCAUUUUGCGCUAGAAGAAUAUUCAUUUUCUUAAAAUGUUGCUUUCCAGUUUCCCCUAUGGUUCCUGUAUAUUUGAAAAUACAUGUAAGGGCCCAUUUGGCAUUAAGUUU
rnacentral:misc_RNA from 1 species